AUUGAACGCUGGCGGCAGGCCUAACACAUGCAAGUCGAACGAGUGGCGGACGGGUGAGUAACGUCUGGGAAACUGCCUGAUGGAGGGGGAUAACUGUUGGAAACGGUAGCUAAUACCGCAUACCAUCGGAUGUGCCCAGAUGGGAUUAGCUGGUAGGUGGGGUAAAGGCUCACCUAGGCGACGAUCCCUAGCUGGUCUGAGAGGAUGACCAGCAACACUGGAACUGAGACACGGUCCAGACUCCUACGGGAGGCAGCAGUGGGGAAUAUUGCACAAUGGGCGCAAGCCUGAUGCAGCCAUGCCGCGUGUAUGAAGAAGGCCUUCGGGUUGUAAAGUACUUUUAGCGGGGAGGCGUUACCCGAAGAAGAAGCACCGGCUAACUACGUGCCAGCAGCCGCGGUAAUUC
rnacentral:rRNA from 1 species